rnacentral:rRNA from 1 species
AAAAUACUAAAAUAGUAAAUAAUUAUUUAUUGAAACUUAAAUAAUUUGGCGGUAUUUUAGUUCAUUUAGAGGAAUCUGUUUAAUAAUUGAUAUUCCACGAAUAAAUUUACUUAAUUUAUAAUUUUGUAUAUCAUUGUUAAAAAAAUAUUUUUUAAUAAAUUUAAUAUUUAAAAAUUAUAAUAAAAAUUUAAAUCAGAUCAAGAUGCAGAUUAUAGUUAAGAAUAUAAUGGAUUACAAUAAAUUUAUUUAAAUGAAUAUUGAUUUGUAAAAAUUAAUUGAAAGUGGAUUUAAAUGUAAUUUUAUUUAAUUUAUUAAAAUGAUUAAAAAUUAAAAUAUGU